rnacentral:rRNA from 1 species
AGCGAACGCUGGCGGCAGGCCUAAUACAUGCAAGUCGAGCGCACCUUCGGGUGAGCGGCGGACGGGUGAGUAACGCGUGGGAACGUGCCCUUUGGUUCGGAACAACACAGGGAAACUUGUGCUAAUACCGAAUGUGCCCUUCGGGGGAAAGAUUUAUCGCCAUUGGAGCGGCCCGCGUUGGAUUAGGUAGUUGGUGGGGUAAAGGCCCACCAAGCCGACGAUCCAUAGCUGGUCUGAGAGGAUGAUCAGCCACACUGGGACUGAGACACGGCCCAGACUCCUACGGGAGGCAGCAGUAGGGAAUCUUGCGCAAUGGGCGAAAGCCUGACGCAGCCAUGCCGCGUGAAUGAUGAAGGUCUUAGGAUUGUAAAAUUCUUUCACCGGGGAAGAUAAUGACGGUACCCGGAGAAGAAGCCCCGGCUAACUUCGUGCCAGCAGCCGCGGUAAUACGAAGGGGGCUAGCGUUGCUCGGAAUUACUGGGCGUAAAGGGCGCGUAGGCGGAUAGUUUAGUCAGAGGUGAAAGCCCAGGGCUCAACCUUGGAACUGCCUUUGAUACUGGCUAUCUUGAGUUCGGGAGAGGUGAGUGGAAUGCCGAGUGUAGAGGUGAAAUUCGUAGAUAUUCGGCGGAACACCAGUGGCGAAGGCGACUCACUGGCCCGAUACUGACGCUGAGGCGCGAAAGCG